GUGCUCGCUUCGGCAGCACAUAUACUAAAAUUGAAACGAUACAGAGAAGAUUAGCAUGGCACCUGCGCAAGGAUGACACGCAGAUUCGUGAAGCAUUCCAUAUUUUU
rnacentral:snRNA from 1 species